GAAUUUGCCUUGCCUGGGACAAUUGCUCUGUGGUGAUAGUAGUUCUCUGCUACUUACCCAGGAGCAGAACAAUUUGAAGAGAGAAUCACUUCCCCACAAAUACUUCAGGCCAACCAAAAAUCCUUCAGGGAAAUGCCAUCCAGAAAUUCUUAUGCUAAUUUGCAACAAAUCCUGGACCCUCUUUCAAGUUAACCCUGAUCCUGUUGGCAAGUGAUACCAACAGAAGGUCUGUCCCACAGACCAGAGAAGAACCGAGUGCAGCUGGGAAGGAUGGGGGCUGCUGGCAGGAGUAGCUGGAAAUGUCAAGCACUCGACUCUCUGCUUUGUGGCAAUUGAAGAGAAGAUUGGAAGGAGGGUUGGUUGAAAAUAUCUGAGAACACAGCCACGGCAGGGGAAAUUAACUUAGGUGGCUGCCUUUGGAGAAGGAAAUGGCAACCCACUCCAGUAUUCUUGCUGGAGAAUCCCAUAGGCAGAGGAGACUGGCAGGCCACAGUCCAUGGAGUUGCA
ensembl:lncRNA